rfam:Mustela putorius furo unplaced genomic scaffold scaffold00185, whole genome shotgun sequence.
GUCUACAGCCAUACCACCCUGAACAUGCCCAAUCUCAUCUAAUCUCGGAAGCUAAGCUGGGUUGGGCCUGGUUAGUACUUGGAUGGGAGGAUUAUGAUGGUUACC